CCGGCGACCGGCGCACGGGUGAGUAACACGUAUGCAACCUGGCCGUCACGAGGGGAUAACCGGUAGAAAUGCCGCCUAAUACCCCAUGACACCCUUUAGGGACAUCCCUGGGGGGUCAAAGGGAGCGAUCCCGGUGGUGGAUGGGCAUGCGGCGCAUUAGCUAGUCGGCGGGGUAACGGCCCACCGAGGCGACGAUGCGUAGGGGUUCUGAGAGGAAGGUCCCCCACAUUGGAACUGAGACACGGUCCAAACUCCUACGGAAGGCAGCAG
rnacentral:rRNA from 1 species